rnacentral:rRNA from 1 species
UACGUAGGGAGCAAGCGUUGUCCGGAAUCAUUGGGCGUAAAGCGCGCGUAGGCGGCCCUGUAAGUCCGUUGUGAAAGUCAAAGGCUCAACCUUUGAAAGCCGAUGGAUACUGCAGGGCUAGAGUCCGGAAGAGGCGAGUGGAAUUCCUGGUGUAGCGGUGGAAUGCGCAGAUAUCAGGAGGAACACCGGUGGCGAAGGCGGGACUCUGGGCCGAUACUGACGCUGAGGAGCGAAAGCGUGGGGAGCAAACAGG